rnacentral:rRNA from 1 species
UAAGGGCGCACGGUGGAUGCCUUGGCACUAGAAGCCGAUGAAGGACGUUACUAACGACGAUAUGCUUUGGGGAGCUGUAAGUAAGCUUUGAUCCAGAGAUUUCCGAAUGGGGAAACCCAGCAUGAGUUAUGUCAUGUUAUCGAUAUGUGAAUACAUAGCAUAUCAGAAGGCACACCCGGAGAACUGAAACAUCUUAGUACCCGGAGGAAGAGAAAGAAAAUUCGAUUCCCUUAGUAGCGGCGAGCGAAACGGGAAGAGCCCAAACCAACAAGCUUGCUUGUUGGGGUUGUAGGACACUCUAUACGGAGUUACAAAGGACGACAUUAGACGAAUC